ACUGCUAACUGCAUAGAGGUUGUUGGAGAGAAUCUCAACGUAGGAACAUGCGUUCCUUAUUUUAUACAACGUGUGACGUAAUACACAAGUUCUUCAUAAACAAGAACACGUUACGUUACAUUUGGCGCGCUAUACUGAAACUAAGUAUAAACAAAUACAAAAUGAAUAAUUACACAUAUAAAUAGAGUCGAUAUAUAGAUUUAAAGAAGUCAGCAUAUAAUAUAAGGUCAAAGAAAGCUAUUUCUUCUGUAAAUUACGAAUCAGAACACAACAACGGACAUCUGCGUGUAUCAAGUGUGGAACGAAGAUCACAGUAAAAUAUCAGCUUUCAAAUCACCGGGG
rnacentral:lncRNA from 1 species